GAUGAACGCUGGCGGCGUGCCUAAUACAUGCAAGUCGAGCGAACAGACGAGGAGCUUGCUCCUCUGACGUUAGCGGCGGACGUGUGAGUAACACGUGUAUAACCUACCUAUAAGACUGGUAUAACUUCGGGAAACCGGAGCUAAUACCGGAUAAUAUAUUGAACCGCAUGGUUCAAUAGUGAAAUACGGUUUUGCUGUCACUUAUAGAAGGAUCCGCGCCGCAUUAGCUAGUUGGUAAGGUAACGGCUUACCAAGGCGGCGAUGCGUAGCCGACCUGAGAGGGUGAUCGGCCACACUGGAACGGAGACACGGUCCAGACUCCUACGGGAGGCAGCAGUAGGGAAUCUUACGCAAUGGGCGAAAGCCUGACGGAGUAACGCCGAGUGAGUGAUGAAGGUCUUCGGAUCGUAAAAAUCUGUUAUUAGGGAAGAACAAAUGUGUAAGUAACUAUGCACGUAUUGACGGUACCUAAUAAGAAAGCCACGGCUAACUACGUG
rnacentral:rRNA from 1 species